rnacentral:rRNA from 1 species
UGGGGAAUAUUGGACAAUGGGCGAAAGCCUGAUCCAGCCAUGCCGCGUGUGUGAAGAAGGUCUUCGGAUUGUAAAGCACUUUAAGUUGGGAGGAAGGGCAGUAAGCGAAUACCUUGCUGUUUUGACGUUACCGACAGAAUAAGCACCGGCUAACUCUGUGCCAGCAGCCGCGGUAAUACAGAGGGUGCAAGCGUUAAUCGGAAUUACUGGGCGUAAAGCGCGCGUAGGUGGUUCGUUAAGUUGAAUGUGAAAGCCCCGGGCUCAACCUGGGAACUGCAUCCAGAACUGGCGAGCUAGAGUAGGGCAGAGGGUGGUGGAAUGUCCUGUGUAGCGGUGAAAUGCGUAGAUAUAGGAAGGAACACCAGUGGCGAAGGCGACCACCUGGGCUCAUACUGACACUGAGGUGCGAAAGCGUGGGGAGCAAACAGG